rnacentral:rRNA from 1 species
GACGUAGGGGGCCAGCGUUGUUCGGAAUUACUGGGUGUAAAGGGUUCGUAGGCGGUGCGGCAAGUUGGGAGUGAAAUCUCUGGGCUUAACCCAGAGGCUGCUUCCAAAACUGCUGUGCUUGAGUGUGGGAGAGGCGCGUGGAAUUGCAGGUGUAGCGGUGAAAUGCGUAGAUAUCUGCAGGAACACCCGUGGCGAAAGCGGCGCACUGGACCACAACUGACGCUGAGGCGCGAAAGCUAGGGGAGCAAACAGG